GCCCCGGUAGCUCAGCCGGUCAGAGCGCACGCUUGGUAAGCGUGAGGUCGCGGGUUCAAUUCCCGCCCGGGGCU
rnacentral:tRNA from 1 species